CAGCCGCCGCGGUAAUGCGUAGGGUGCGAGCGUUAAUCGGAAUUACUGGGCGUAAAGCGUGCGCAGGCGGUUUUGUAAGACAGGCGUGAAAUCCCCGGGCUCAACCUGGGAAUGGCGCUUGUGACUGCAAAGCUAGAGUGCGGCAGAGGGGGAUGGAAUUCCGCGUGUAGCAGUGAAAUGCGUAGAUAUGCGGAGGAACACCGAUGGCGAAGGCAAUCCCCUGGGCCUGCACUGACGCUCAUGCACGAAAGCGUGGGGAGCAAACAGGAUUAGAUACCCGCGUAGUCCCUGUCUCUUAUAC
rnacentral:rRNA from 1 species